rnacentral:rRNA from 1 species
AAUACCGCAUAUACUCUGAGGAGUAAAGUAGGGGAUCGAAAGACCUUAUGCUUUUGGAGCGGNCGAUGUCUGAUUAGCUAGUUGGUGGGGUAAUUGCCUACCAAGGCGACGAUCAGUNGUUGGUCUGAGAGGACGACCAGCCACACUGGGACUGAGACACGGACCANACUCCUACGGGAGGCAGCAGUGGGGAAUUUUGGACAAUGGGCGCAAGCCUGAUCCAGCAAUGCCGCGUGAGUGAAGAAGGCCUUCGGGUUGUAAAGCUCUUUCAGUUGAGAAGAAAAAAUUGUAACUAAUAAUUACAGUUCAUGACGGUAUCAACAGAAGAAGCACCGGCUAACUACGUGCCAGCAGCCGCGGUAAUACGUAGGGUGCAAGCGUUAAUCGGAAUUACUGGGCGUAAAGGGUGCGCAGGCGGUUCUGUAAGUCAGAUGUGAAAUCCCCGGGCUUAACCUGGGAACUGCGUUUGAAACUACAGGACUAGAGUGUGGCAGAGGGGGGUGGAAUUCCAUGUGUAGCAGUGAAAUGCGUAGAGAUAUGGAAGAACAUCGAUGGCGAAGGCAGCCCCCUGGGUUAACACUGACGCUCAUGCACGAAAGCGUGGGGAGCAAACAGGAUUAGAUACCCUGGUAGUCCACGCCCUAAACUAUGUCAACUAGUUGUCGGGCCUUAUUAGGUUUGGUAACGUAGCUAACGCGUAAGUUNCCGCCUGGGGAGUACGGUCGCAAGAUUAAAACUCAAAGNAAUUNANGGGGACCCGCACAANCGGUGGAUUAUGUGGNUUAAUUCGAUGCAACGCGAAAAACCUUACCUACCCUUGACAUGUCAGNAAGUUUUCANAGAUGAANUCGUGCUNGAAANAGAAUCUGANCACAGGUGCNGCAUGGCUGUCNCCAGCUCGUGUCGUNAGAUGUUGGGUUAAGUCCCGCAACGAGCGCAACCCUUGUCAUUAAUUGCCAUCAUUUAGUUGGGCACUUUAAUGAGACUGCCGGUGAUAAACCGGAGGAAGGUGNGNAUNACGUCAAGUCCUCAUGGCCCUUAUGGGUAGGGCUUC